AUCGCUUCUCAGCCUUUUGGCUAAGAUCAAGUGUAGUAACUGUUCUUAUCAGUUUAAUAUCUGAUAUGUCCUCUGAGGACAAUAUAUUAAAUGGAUUUUUGGAGCAGGGAGCUGGAAUAGGAACUUGCUCUGUCUACUCCAUGCAUUGAAAUUUUGGAAUCCAAACUAAAUAUAAUUGCAGUACUU
rnacentral:snRNA from 1 species